rnacentral:rRNA from 1 species
CCUACGGGUGGCAGCAGUGAGGAAUAUUGGUCAAUGGGCGCGAGCCUGAACCAGCCAAGUCGCGUGAAGGAUGACUGCCCUACGGGUUGUAAACUUCUUUUAUCAAGGAAUAAAGUGAGGCACGUGUGCCUCUUUGUAUGUACUUUAUGAAUAAGGAUCGGCUAACGCCGCGCCAGCAGACGCUGUAAUACGGAGGAUCCGGGCGUUAUGCGGAUUUUUUGGGUUUAAAGGGAGCAUAGAUGGGGUGUUAAGUCAGUUGUGAAAGUUUGCGGCUCAACCGUAAAAUUGCAAUUGAUACUGGCAGCCUGGAGUGCAGUUGAGGUAGGCGGAAUUCGUGGUGUAGCGGUGAAGUGCUUAGAUAUCACGAAGAACUCC